rnacentral:lncRNA from 1 species
UGUUGUCCCCCUUGAGCGGGAGCGGAGACUGCCUUGCACUGGAUUCUUUGUCCUAGGAGACAGUCUGUCAUCUUCUGAGAAGAGGCACGAAGAGCAUGGAAGAAAGAAAACAGGUCAGCGUUUUGGAUACAACUUCUCCAAAAACAGCUGCAGAAAGCAACUCUUCUCCUCUUGAAGCUGAGGAAACGCAAAGGUGAUACGAACCUGUGCGGGACGCGACUGACCAGUAUCGCUGGUAUCUGCUGGGGAGCGAUGCCGGCCCGGAGGCAGCAGCAUCAACAUCAUCUGCGACUUCCCCAAAUUGUCCUGGAUUCAAAACAACCCUUUGGGGCGGUGGGGCCGGUGCAGGGGGAGAAAGAUGUGAUUGGUGGGACGGGGCCAUCGCUGCACUUAAAGCCUCCAACUGCCGUCGCUGCGAGCAGAUGAGGAAGCGUCGCAGCACGCUGUGAGCCCAGCCCUGACCAUGCAGCCCCUCCAGCGCGCCCACCUGCUCCUCCUGCUCGCCCUGCUUGUCCUCUGCAUGCCCUUUGGCCAGGCGAAUAAGGGGGAGGGGGUCACAGCCACCUCCUACACCACUGCAAGCCACAUCGCAAGCAGCCUGAGCCCCCCCUGUGGCAGCCCACUCCUCUCCCUCGCCUUGGGGCUGGCUCUGGCUUUCUUCCUGCGGCUGCACUGACCCCCUACCCCCCCCAAGAAGACACCCCCAGGAUGGCAUCCCCAGCCUUGGCACCUCCUUGGACCCUCGCAGCACGGAGGAGCAGCCAGUACCCCGCCCUGCCUCCCUCUGCUCCCCUCAGCCUCAAAACAAACCCCCUAAACUAUCCCACCUCAGGAGCAGGCCGGCUCUAAGAUUCUGAGAAAUAAAGUGCUGGUGUAGAAGCCUCGGGCUCGUCUCCGCUGUGGGGCCGGGGCAGUAACGGGGCUGGUGGG